rnacentral:lncRNA from 1 species
AGAGGUUUGAUCAACUAUGGAUAGUUACUUGAGUGUGAGGAUGUCUCUUGUUAAAUUUGCUUUCUUUUUUGUUUUUAUCAUGGCAGCAGGUUCGAAAUUAUAUUUUAUUUUGAAUCUCAACCAUGUAUUUUAUACCUUCUAAUUUUCAUUGCAUUAUAUUCUUUGUGAUAUAUAUUGUUUGCAUGUUUAUAUAUUAUUUGUGUGAAUACAGAUAUAUGCAAACAAUCAGAUGCUGCUGGUGCAAAUUGUCUUCUUAGUAUUCCUUGUACAUCAAACCGACAUUGUCAGAUACUUUGUGGUCCCAACUAUGUGUGUUAUGCUAAACGUUGUACAUCCAAGCUGCUUGAAUUCAAGCUUUCCAAGAUUGAGAACCAACACAUUGUGACGUAAUAAUAAAUAUGCGCACAAUUUAAAAAAAAAAUGAAUAAAGAAGGGUUACAUCUUAUUAUGUAAUAUUAUAGAGAUAACUAGUGUUGCGCACAAUAAAUAAAUGAAAACAGUGAAUAAACAGGGG